AGCAGCCGCGGUAAUUCCAGCUCCAAUAGCGUAUAUUAAAGUUGUUGCAGUUAAAAAGCUCGUAGUUGAAUUUCGGGGUCAGUAGGUUGGUCGUGCCACUGGUAUGCACUGGUCUCACUGAUUCCUCCCUCUUGUAGAACCGUAAUGCCAUUAAUUUGGUGUUGCGGGGAAACAGGACUGUUACUUUGAAAAAAUUAGAGUGUUUAAAGCAGGCUAACGCUUGAAUACAUUAGCAUGGAAUAAUGAAAUAGGACGUUCGAUCCUAUUUUGUUGGUUUCUAGGAUUGACGUAAUGAUUAAUAGGGAUAGUUGGGGGCAUUAGUAUUCAAUUGUCAGAGGUGAAAUUCUUGGAUUUAUUGAAGACUGACUACUGCGAAAGCAUUUGCCAAGGAUGUUUUCAUUAAUCAAGAACGAAAGUUAGGGGAUCGAAGACGAUCAGAUACCGUCGUAGUCUUAACCAUAAACUAUGCCGACUAGGGAUCGGAUGAUGUUAAUUUUUAAUGACUCAUUCGGCGCCUUAA
rnacentral:rRNA from 1 species